rnacentral:tRNA from 1 species
AAUGAAGUGUCUGAAAAAGAGCUAUUUUGAUAGAGUAGAAAAUGUAGAAUUCUACCUUCAUUA